UACAGAGGGUGCGAGCGUUAAUCGGAAUUACUGGGCGUAAAGCGAGUGUAGGUGGCUUAUUAAGUCACAUGUGAAAUCCCUGGGCUUAACCUAGGAACUGCAUGUGAUACUGGUGAGCUAGAGUAUGUGAGAGGAAAGUAGAAUUCCAGGUGUAGCGGUGAAAUGCGUAGAGAUCUGGAGGAAUACCGAUGGCGAAGGCAGCUUUCUGGCAUAAUACUGACACUGAGACUCGAAAGCGUGGGUAGCAAACAGGAUUAGAUACCCUGGUAGUCCACGCCGUAAACGAUGUCUACUAGCCGUUGGGGCCCUUGAGGCUUUAGUGGCGCAGUUAACGCGAUAAGUAGACCGCCUGGGGAGUACGGCCGCAAGGUUAAA
rnacentral:rRNA from 1 species